rnacentral:rRNA from 1 species
GAAGGUGUAUCUAGAAAGACAAAUUAGAGCUUGAAAAGUAAAGCAUUUCAUUUACAUUGAAAAGUAUAUUGUGUGAUUCAAUUUAAUUUGAGAUAAUAAAAAUUUAUUAAUUUUUUUUGUUUAAAAAUUUAUUUAAUAAAAUUAAUUUUAAAUUUAGUUUUUUUUGUAUAAUAUAUAGAUCAAAUAAUUUAUAUAAUAGUUAAUUAGUAUUGUAAAAGAAUAUUGAAAUAGAUGAAAAAGUUUUAAAUUAAAAGUAAAUUUUAUAUAUUGUACCUUGUGUAUCAGGGUUUAUUAAUUAAAAGUUAAAUAUUUAAUUUUUCUCGAAUUUAAGAGAGUUAAUUUAUUAUUUAAUUUUUUGUUUCAUAAAAAUUUAAAAUAAUAAAUUAGAAAUGAAAUGUUAUUCGUUCUUAAAUAUAUCUAGUUUUUUGAGAAAUAAAUUAAAUUUAGAUUAUUAAUAGAUAAUUAUUUAUUUAAAUAAUAAAUUAUUAUUAAUAAUUAAUAUUUUAAGGGAUAAGCUUUAAAAUAAGUUUUAUAAUAAUUUUUUAAUUUAAAAAUUAUAGAUUUAGAAAUAGUCAUUAAUUAUAAAAAUGUUAUAAUUUAUUUUAAAUUAAAAAUAAUUUUUAUUAGUUUAAGUUUUUUAUUAAAAUAAUUUUUAAAAUUAUAUAAGAAUUAAAAUAAUGAUAAAAUUAGUAUAUUUUAAUUAUCUAAAGUAAAUAAAUUGAAAGGUUAAAUUAAGGAACUUGGCAAAUGAAUACUCGCCUGUUUAACAAAAACAUGUCUUUUUGAAUAUAAUUUAAAGUCUAAUCUGCCCACUGAAAAAUUUUAAAGGGCCGCGGUAUU